rnacentral:lncRNA from 1 species
UUUCACCGGAGUCUUCUUCACAGGUGCAGCCUUCUUCGCCGCCGGCUUGGGUGCAGCAGCUGCAGCCGCUGGUGAAGUCCUCGUCGAGGUCCUUGCAGCCUUGGCAGGCUUAGCAGCUGGCUUGGCUUUGGCAGCUGGCUUGGCUUUGGCAGCAGGUUUCGCCUUAGCAGCAGCUUUAGGCUUCGCGGCAGGCUUGGCCUUGGCUGCUGGCUUGGCUGCGGCAGUCUUAACCGGCUUGGCAGCGGGUUUAGCUUUGGCAGCAGGCUUUGCCUUAGCAGCGGGCUUAGCCUUGGCAGCUGGCUUGGCCUUAGCAAUGCGGCAGUCUUAACCGGCUUGGCAGCGGGUUUAGCUUUGGCAGCAGGCUUUGCCUUAGCAGCGGGCUUAGCCUUGGCAGCUGGCUUGGCCUUAGCAGCGGGCUUGGCUUUGGCAGCUGGCUUAGCCUUAGCUGCGGGCUUAGCCUUUGACUUGGUAGCAGCUUUA